rnacentral:rRNA from 1 species
GACGAACGCUGGCGGCGUGCUUAACACAUGCAAGUCGAACGGUAAGGCUCCAGCUUGCUGGGGUACACGAGUGGCGAACGGGUGAGUAACACGUGGGUGACCUGCCCUGCACUUCGGGAUAAGCCUGGGAAACUGGGUCUAAUACCGGAUAGGACCAUGGUGUGGAUACUGUGGGUGAAAGUUUUUUCGGGGUGGGAUGGGCCCGCGGCCUAUCAGCUUGUUGGUGGGGUAGUGGCCUACCAAGGCGGCGACGGGUAGCCGGCCUGAGAGGGUGGACGGCCACAUUGGGACUGAGACACGGCCCAGACUCCUACGGGAGGCAGCAGUGGGGAAUAUUGCACAAUGGGCGGAAGCCUGAUGCAGCGACGCCGCGUGGGGGAUGACGGCCUUCGGGUUGUAAACUCCUUUCGCCAUCGACGAAGGGUUUCUGACGGUAGAUGGAGAAGAAGCACCGGCUAACUACGUG